AGAUUGAACGCUAGCGGGAUGCUUUACACAUGCAAGUCGAACGGCAGCGCGGACUUCGGUCUGGCGGCGAGUGGCGGACGGGUGAGUAAUAUAUCGGAACGUGCCCAGUAGCGGGGGAUAACUACGCGAAAGCGUGGCUAAUACCGCAUACGCCCUACGGGGGAAAGGGGGGGAUCGCAAGACCUCUCACUAUUGGAGCGGCCGAUAUCAGAUUAGCUAGUUGGUGAGGUAAAGGCUCACCAAGGCGACGAUCUGUAGCUGGUUUGAGAGGACGACCAGCCACACUGGGACUGAGACACGGCCCAGACUCCUACGGGAGGCAGCAGGUGGGGAAUUUUGGACAAUGGGCGAAAGCCUGAUCCAGCCAUACCGCGUGGUGAAGAAGGCCUUCGGGUUGUAAAGUCCCUUUUGUUGGAAAGAAAAGCAAGUCGUUAAUACCCGGUUGUUCUGACGUACCAAAGAAUAAGCACCGGCUAACUUCGUGCCAGCAGCCGC
rnacentral:rRNA from 1 species